ACCAUUAAACAGUACAGUGAAACAGGUAACCUACCAGUAAACAGUACAGUGAAACAGGUUACCUACCAUUAAACAGUACAGUGAAACAGGUUACCUACCAUUAAACAGUACAGUGAAACAGGUUACCUACCAGUAAACAGA